rnacentral:rRNA from 1 species
UGUAAGCGUAUACCAAAGUUGUUGCAGUUAAAACGCUCGUAGUCGGAACUUGGCCGUGUCGGAUGAGUGCACGUCGUGUGCGCGCAUUGCAGAUAUGGCUUUUGUGGGUUUUGCGUACGAUGAGGCACGUUUAUUCGUGAACGUCGUUCCGCAGCCACUCUUUACUGUGAGAAAAUCAAAGUGCUCAAAGCAGGCAUUUGCCGUGAAUGUAUUAGCAUGGAAUAAUAGAAUAGGACUCGGUUCUAUUUUGUUGGUUUGUUGGGGCUGAGUAAUGAUUAAGAGGGACAGUUGGGGGCAUUUGUAUUUCGGCGCUAGAGGUGAAAUUCUUAGAUUGCCGAAAGACAAACUGCUGCGAAAGCGUCUGCCAAGGAUGUUUUCAUUGA